GCGAAUGUAGUCUAGCCUGGUAGGACUUCAGCCUUCCAAGCUGAAAGCCCGGGUUCAAAUCCCGGCGUUCGCA
rnacentral:tRNA from 1 species